GUGGGGAAUCUUAGACAAUGGGGGCAACCCUGAUCUAGCCAUGCCGCGUGAGUGAUGAAGGCCUUAGGGUCGUAAAGCUCUUUCGCUGGGGAAGAUAAUGACGGUACCCAGUAAAGAAACCCCGGCUAACUCCGUGCCAGCAGCCGCGGUAAUACGGAGGGGGUUAGCGUUGUUCGGAAUUACUGGGCGUAAAGCGCGCGUAGGCGGAUUGGAAAGUUGGGGGUGAAAUCCCGGGGCUCAACCCUGGAAUGACCUUCAAAACUCCCGGUCUUGAGGUCGAGAGAGGUGAGUGGAAUUCCGAGUGUAGAGGUGAAAUUCGUAGAUAUUCGGAGGAACACCAGUGGCGAAGGCGGCUCACUGGCUCGAUACUGACGCUGAGGUGCGAAAGCGUGGGGAGCAAACAGGAUUAGAUCCCUGGUAGUCC
rnacentral:rRNA from 1 species